rnacentral:rRNA from 1 species
CAGUAGCCGCGGUAAUACGGAGGGAGCUAGCGUUGUUCGGAAUUACUGGGCGUAAAGCGCACGUAGGCGGCUUUGUAAGUUAGAGGUGAAAGCCCGGAGCUCAACUCCAGAAUUGCCUUUAAGACUGCAUCGCUUGAAUCCAGGAGAGGUGAGUGGGAUUCCGAGUGUAGAGGUGAAAUUCGUAGAUAUCCGCAAGAACACCAGUGGCGAAGGCGGCUCACUGGCCCGAUGCUGACGCUGAGGCACGAAAGCGUGGGGAGCAAACAGGAUUAGAUACCCCCGUAGUCCCUGUCUCUUAUAC